rnacentral:rRNA from 1 species
UACGGGGGGAGCAAGCGUUGUUCGGAUUUACUGGGCGUAAAGGGCGCGUAGGCGGCCACUGCAAGUCGGUUGUGAAAUCUCCGGGCUUAACCCGGAAAGGUCAGCCGAUACUGCGGGGCUAGAGUGCAGAAGGGGGCAACUGGAAUUCUCGGUGUAGCGGUGAAAUGUGUAGAGAUCGGGAGGAACACCGGUGGCGAAGGCGGGACUCUGGGCCUACCCUGACGCUGAGGCGCGAAGGCGUGGGGAGCAAACGGG